CAGUCGCCGCGGGAAUACGUAGGGUGCAAGCGUUAACCGGAAUUACUGGGCGUAAAGCGUGCGCAGGCGGUUGUGUAAGACAGGUGUGAAAUCCCCGGGCUUAACCUGGGAACUGCGCUUGUGACUGCACAGCUAGAGUAUGGCAGAGGGGGGUGGAAUUCCACGUGUAGCAGUGAAAUGCGUAGAGAUGUGGAGGAACACCGAUGGCGAAGGCAGCCCCCUGGGCCAAUACUGACGCUCAUGCACGAAAGCGUGGGGAGCAAACAGGAUUAGAUACCCGUGUAGUCCCUGUCUCUUAUAA
rnacentral:rRNA from 1 species